CGCCCACUCCCCCCACCUGGUGCACGUGGCACCUGGCGUGGAGAAGGCAGAGGCAGGCAGCUGUCCCUUUCCUCUCCUGCCCUCCCAUCCCGCUAUCCUCUACUCCUGCCCUACCCUGAAGCUUCACACUUUGCUACCAUCAACACCUCCGCUCCUGGGUAGCUCCUAGAGUCUCCAAUGGCUGAAGAGGGACAAAGUUAGAAGUAGAGAAGGACUUUCCGACUCCUAGGAUGGUUAACAAGGGGAUAGGGUGUGAGGAAGAGUGGAGUGGAAACUUUUGGGGACCUUCUUGUACCGAGAGUCUGAGGGUGUGUGUCUGUGCCUCUGCGCCUCUGAUUAUCCUGUGUCCUUUUGGUAAAUGCGUGGCCCACGCGUCUGUGUACACUUCUCUGCACAGAACAGGAUGUUGGUCUGUCUUGGGGCUCUGCCCCUUGGGCAGGUUUGGAGUAAGAAGCAACGUUCUCUGAAGCACCACUCCACCCAGCGCCCUCUUGCAGACAAGUGGAGCCAGCAAGAGGCAGAGGGACAGGGCUGUGCGCGUGCUGGGGCAGAGCUGUUCUGCUCUCCCCAUCCCCACCCGCCUGCAGGUGAUUGGCUUUGCUUCCACUCCAUAUCCUCUCUCUGUGCCUCUCCCUGCCCACCCCCCUGCCGGUGGCUCCUCUGUUUUCUGUGCCUCUCCAGCUUUUCCCUCUCUGUCUCUUCUCCUCUCUAAGCCACUCUUCCUCUGUGACUUUGGGUCUCUUAGGGCCCUUCCUGACCUUCCAAUCACGGGCACCGAGUGGAGGCCAUACACAAUGUCUGGGGAUGGGCAUGUGGCCCUGGCACAAUGCCACACAGCCCUGCUACCCUACAUACCACAGGUAUGGCUGCCACUCCCAACCUUGCCACUUCAUGCCACUGUGGGGUGGGGAGGAAGUGACUGGGGGAAGGGUCCUGGCUUCUAGGCCUAAGCGAGUCACAUGCUUCCUAGAUGUCUCAUGUCUCUACCCCUUCCUUGCACUAAGCAUGGAUGGCUGGGGUUCCUUCUCCCUAGGGCAAGAAAGUACCUUGGUCAUCCUUUUGGGAAAUCCCCCCUCAUGCCUAACUUUCCUCCCUCCUGCUCCAAUCACAGCCCCUUUUCUGGAGGAAUCUUUCCUUUCAAAGCAGGGCAGUGGUUAUUUCCUCCUCAAAUACAUUCUUAUUCAAGGAAGAGGCUGAUAGGGAUCAGAGAAUCAUUUCACGCCCCCCCCCCCACAAGUUCCCUUAUCAGGCUGGGGAAUCUCAACGCAGGGGGCAAGCAGCCUGGAGGGGGUGGAGGUGGUGGUGGUGGCUUGGAACUGGGGAGCAGUCACCAACUUCUCUUUCCCUUCCUCCCCACCCCCUAAACCACAGAAACCACUUAAAGCUCAGUGCAAGCCUGCCCUUCCAGGGAGGGCCUGGGCGUGCGAAGGUGGAAAGUACGUGAGGCCUGGGCAGCCUGCAUGCCACACACCACUCCACCCCUCUCCUUCGAGGGCCACCCCCUCUGGGAAGCCUGUGCCAGUGAUGGGAGACCAUCUUUCUUUGGGUCCUCCCUAGAAGGUCCAUUCCUGGGGAGACCUCAACCCACUGGAGUGGCUCAGGGAGAGGCCUCCCUCAAGCAUUAAAAAAAGGACAACGUAGGCUCUAUGAGUAUCUGUAAUCUCACAGCCUCCACCCCUCCCCCUUUCCGUCACAAAGGCCACUGUGGGUGGAGGGAACAGCGGGAGUUUGACCCCAGCUCCUGGCCCUGAACUUUCUGUGGUGACCCUGCCUGUACCACUCAUCUGUCAAUUAACACUUGUGGUCACUUGGGCUUGGACAAAGCAAGGAGGGUUGAAAAACAGGAGUUCUGAUUUUUGGAGCCAAGAGACUUGGAUAAGAAUGAGGCCUGUCAGUUCUUAGUCCUCAAUUACCACAUCAGUAAAAAGGGGACAAUAAUAACUGUCCUGACUGUGUUUGCAAACAUACUUUGAGGUCAGAGCAGUCUGCACGCAGGAAGGCUUCUUUAGGACCUUAUUUGCCCCAGGGCAUGCUUCUGUGGCUUUAGCCAGGAAGUUCCUCCAGGGACUUUGUGGCCCCCAUCACAGGGGACAGUUCCCAGCUGUGAACACUGAGUGAACUGCUCCUGAGUGGAAUGGACUCGAAUUCCCACCUCACAGCCUCCUCUGAGCAGUGUGGUGUGUGGGUGUGUAUGUGUGCACAGGUGUGUGUGUCGGGGUGGAGCCACAGUCCUAAACCUUCCCUCCAGCUAGGGCUGACCUCCAGGCAAGUUUACUGAACCUCUCGGUAAAGUGAGAAUAACCAUACCUACCUUACAGAGCGGUUGCGCUGAUUGCCCGGGAUGACACAGGGGUCUUCAGAUGUGAACAGAGCUGCUCCCUUGAAUGAGGACCCAGAGUGCUGCCUCUUCACCUCUUCCAGCACCAUCGCUGUCACUGCUUGAGAACUUCACAGGAACUCUGGCACCACCAAGAGCCUUCAGUGACUGUCUAAAGCAGGAAGAGGGCUGGAGGAGAGGGCAGAGCACCAUGGACUUGGUGGCCCAGUGGCCUUAGGCAAGAGGACCAGGGACAGCCUGAUUUCCCUUGUGGAUGUACUUAUGUCCAGUGUAAGCUCCUUCCUGGGUCUGCUCCAAGUUUGGAGGCAGCAGAGCACAGUGGAGAGAGCAAGUGAGUUAGAGUCUCAGUUCCUGGGUUAGAGUCCUGGAUCUGACCUAGAUUGUCUGUUCUACCUUGGGCAAAAUACCUUGCCUCCGCGUGCCUCAGUUUGUCCAUCGUAAAACAUGACAAAACAUGAAGUUUGGAUAGAUGGUGUCUGAGGCUGUCUUGUGCUUUAUGGUUCAUGAGCACAUACACACAGACCCAUAAUAUUCUCUCUCUCAGCCACGCUGCCAGGUAGAUAUGAUUGUCGCAGACUUCAGAUAAGGAGACUGAAGGCUAGUGGUUAAAUUGCUUGCUUAAGGUCCCAAGGCCAGCAGUGGCAGAGCAGGACUGGAAGCCUGGCUCCUAAUUCCAAUCUUAGCCUCUUCCAAGUUCACCACAUUCUUCUCCAAGUGGCCUCUAAGACCUUUUACUGGAAAAUCCCUAGACCUCGAUAAGGAGGCUCUCUUUUGUCUGUAUAUUGGGGACUGGACCAGAGGACCUGGGAUGUCCUUCUAGGCUGAUAUCAUGAGACUGAAGCCCAGUGCCCCACAUGCCCCACCCAGCUCCUUAGAGAGAGGCCCCAGGGCCUGGUCGUGGUGGGUCCACCUGCUGAACCAAGCCUGAGACGUAGCCAAGGACAUCUACCCUGGUGCUGCCUGUUGCCUUACCC